UACGGAGGAUGCAAGCGUUAUCCGGAAUUAUUGGGCGUAAAGAGCUCGUAGGCGGUUUGUCGCGUCUGCUGUGAAAACCCGAGGCUCAACCUCGGGCCUGCAGUGGGUACGGGUAGACUAGAGUGCGGUAGGGGAGAGUGGAAUUCCUGGUGUAGCGGUGGAAUGCGCAGAUAUCAGGAGGAACACCGAUGGCGAAGGCAGAUCUCUGGGCCGUAACUGACGCUGAGGAGCGAAAGCGUGGGGAGCGAACAGG
rnacentral:rRNA from 1 species